rnacentral:rRNA from 1 species
GAAAGGCCAAUCAAACCGGGAGAUAGCUGGUUCUCCCCGAAAGCUAUUUAGGUAGCGCCUCGUGAAUUCAUCUCCGGGGGUAGAGCACUGUUUCGGCAAGGGGGUCAUCCCGACUUACCAACCCGAUGCAAACUGCGAAUACCGGAGAAUGUUAUCACGGGAGACACACGGCGGGUGCUAACGUCCGUCGUGAAGAGGGAAACAACCCAGACCGCCAGCUAAGGUCCCAAAGUCAUGGUUAAGUGGGAAACGAUGUGGGAAGGCCCAGACAGCCAGGAUGUUGGCUUAGAAGCAGCCAUCAUUUAAAGAAAGCGUAAUAGCUCACUGGUCGAGUCGGCCUGCGCGGAAGAUGUAACGGGGCUAAACCAUGCACCGAAGCUGCGGCAGCGACGCUUAUGCGUUGUUGGGUAGGGGAGCGUUCUGUAAGCCUGCGAAGGUGUGCUGUGAGGCAUGCUGGAGGUAUCAGAAGUGCGAAUGCUGACAUAAGUAACGAUAAAGCGGGUGAAAAGCCCGCUCGCCGGAAGACCAAGGGUUCCUGUCCAACGUUAAUCGGGGCAGGGUGAGUCGACCCCUAAGGCGAGGCCGAAAGGCGUAGUCGAUGGGAAACAGGUUAAUAUUCCUGUACUUGGUGUUACUGCGAAGGGGGGACGAAGAAGGCUAUGUUGGCCGGGCGACGGUUGUCCCGGUUUAAGCGUGUAGGCUGGUUUUCCAGGCAAAUCCGGAAAAUCAAGGCUGAGGCGUGAUGACGAGGCACUACGGUGCUGAAGCAACAAAUGCCCUGCUUCCAGGAAAAGCCUCUAAGCAUCAGGUAACAUCAAAUCGUACCCCAAACCGACACAGGUGGUCAGGUAGAGAAUACCAAGGCGCUUGAGAGAACUCGGGUGAAGGAACUAGGCAAAAUGGUGCCGUAACUUCGGGAGAAGGCACGCUGAUAUGUAGGUGAAGUCCCUCGCGGAUGGAGCUGAAAUCAGUCGAAGAUACCAGCUGGCUGCAACUGUUUAUUAAAAACACAGCACUGUGCAAACACGAAAGUGGACGAAUACGGUGUGACGCCUGCCCGGUGCCGGAAGGUUAAUUGAUGGGGUCAGCGCAAGCGAAGCUCUUGAUCGAAGCCCCGGUAAACGGCGGCCGUAACUAUAACGGUCCUAAGGUAGCGAAAUUCCUUGUCGGGUAAGUUCCGACCUGCACGAAUGGCGUAAUGAUGGCCAGGCUGUCUCCACCCGAGACUCAGUGAAAUUGAACUCGCUGUGAAGAUGCAGUGUACCCGCGGAAAGACGGAAAGACCCCGUGAACCUUUACUAUAGCUUGACACUGAACAUUGAGCCUUGAUGUGUAGGAUAGGUGGGAGGCUUUGAAGUGUGGACGCCAGUCUGCAUGGAGCCGACCUUGAAAUACCACCCUUUAAUGUUUGAUGUUCUAACGUGGACCCGUAAUCCGGGUUGCGGACAGUGUCUGGUGGGUAGUUUGACUGGGGCGGUCUCCUCCUAAAGAGUAACGGAGGAGCACGAAGGUUGGCUAAUCCUGGUCGGACAUCAGGAGGUUAGUGCAAUGGCAUAAGCCAGCUUGACUGCGAGCGUGACGGCGCGAGCAGGUGCGAAAGCAGGUCAUAGUGAUCCGGUGGUUCUGAAUGGAAGGGCCAUCGCUCAACGGAUAAAAGGUACUCCGGGGAUAACAGGCUGAUACCGCCCAAGAGUUCAUAUCGACGGCGGUGUUUGGCACCUCGAUGUCGGCUCAUCACAUCCUGGGGCUGAAGUAGGUCCCAAGGGUAUGGCUGUUCGCCAUUUAAAGUGGUACGCGAGCUGGGUUUAGAACGUCGUGAGACAGUUCGGUCCCUAUCUGCCGUGGGCGCUGGAGAACUGAGGGGGGCUGCUCCUAGUACGAGAGGACCGGAGUGGACGCAUCACUGGUGUUCGGGUUGUCAUGCCAAUGGCACUGCCCGGUAGCUAAAUGCGGAAGAGAUAAGUGCUGAAAGCAUCUAAGCACGAAACUUGCCCCGAGAUGAGUUCUCCCUGACUCCUUGAGAGUCCUGAAGGAACGUUGAAGACGACGACGUUGAUAGGCCGGGUGUGUAAGCGCAGCGAUGCGUUGAGCUAACCGGUACUAAUGAACCGUGAGGCUUAACCUU